rnacentral:lncRNA from 1 species
CGAAGGCGACUGCAGUCGGCCCUUCCCGGAGUCCCGCUUCGGGGCCGUCCCUGGGCGCUGCGCGUUGGUCAACGUAACCCGGCAUUUCUCCGAGGAGAGGCCUAAAAAUGAGUGGGGCUGCCGCCCGACUCCUGUGAGAGCCUCGGGGCUUCCAUUCCCGACACCAGGAGGAAAGACCGGCAUUUCUUCCUCGGGCGAAGAACCCAGUUGUCCAGGCUGGGCUCAAAGAUGGGACUCUCUUGCAUCAGCUUUCCAGAGUGCUGGGAUUACACGUGUGCGCCACGGAAUCUGGCUACCGAGCACUUAUUAAAAUUUUUGAUAUGGUUUCCUGGAUGAAACAGUGACAAAAUCAAGAGAGCUAACCUUGCUUACCCUGCCCAACCCACUUGUGUGAUAUGUUAGCUCCCUGGUCCCUGCUUGAUUCAGACACUACAGAAGAUGUGGGCAUUCUGGCUUCAUUGAUGUGAUGUGCUCUCUAUGAAUUAAAAUUGCAAUUAAUUAUUUUACAUGAAAAUAUGCCUUCUAUGAGAGUGAUACAGACUUCAGCAAAUUUUAACAACUUAUUUUGUAUAUUAACAUUUAUUAAAGACUUUCUU